rnacentral:rRNA from 1 species
GACGAACGCUGGCGGCGUGCUUAACACAUGCAAGUCGAACGGAAAGGCCCUGCUUUUGUGGGGUGCUCGAGUGGCGAACGGGUGAGUAACACGUGAGUAACCUGCCCUUGACUUUGGGAUAACUUCAGGAAACUGGGGCUAAUACCGGAUAGGAGCUCCUGCUGCAUGGUGGGGGUUGGAAAGUUUCGGCGGUUGGGGAUGGACUCGCGGCUUAUCAGCUUGUUGGUGGGGUAGUGGCUUACCAAGGUUUUGACGGGUAGCCGGCCUGAGAGGGUGACCGGCCACAUUGGGACUAAGAGACGGCCCAGACUCCUACGGGAGGCAGCAGUGGGGAAUAUUGCGCAAUGGGAGGAAGCCUGAUGCGGCAACGCCGCGUGCGGGAUGACGGCCUUCGAGUUGUAAACCGCUUUCGCCUGUGACGAAGCGUGAGUGACGGUAAUGGGUAAAGAAGCACCGGCUAACUACGUG